CCAAACGUCCCUUUCCCCUUUCGUCAAAACCGUAGCCGCCAGGGUGUACCACUCUCUCUCUUCUCGUGGUUUUUGCCAGAAAUGGCAUCGGGACAAUGUACUAUGCUUUGGGUAGAACAAUUAAUGUUCUACCCUCUCUUCCCAAACACUGCCGUUGAAGCAUCAAAGAGGUGAGGUUGCUCCUCUUUCUAUGCUUUUCCUGCAUUUUCAACGGUCAUACAUUGUAGUUUCUUAAUUGUUUUGUUGUUUUAUGAUUUGAAUCCAAGAUUUCCAUUGGUCUAUAAAGGAAGCACUCGGAUUGACUUUGAUUGGGUCAAAUCUGGCCGUAGAUUUACUUUUGUGCUUGUUUCCUAGUCGUUGGAUGUGGUAUUGAGAGAUGCCAAGUUGUGAAAAUUGGAGCAUACUAAAAACUCAAUAUACUCAUAGAACUCAAAAUACUUAGGGUUUCAAAAUAUUUGAGACCUUUAACUUUUAUGAGUUAAGUAAAAAUUUUAAAGUUUGUUUUCUGGGUUUUGUGGCUGAGUUUUUGGGAUUUGAGGAGCAAAGGAAUCUCCAAGUUCAUUCUCGAUACAAGGCUGCACAAAAGAAAGGGCUGGGCGUUCGGUAUUCGCUUCGGUAUUUUCAAAGUUCGGGUUCAGUAAUUCGGUAAUCGGUAAUUCAAAGUAUAUACCAAAUACCGAACUUUCAAACUUCGGUUCGGUACGGUAUUCGCUAAUACCAUAUUGAAGUUGAAGUCCACUUAUUAGAAUGCAAGUUGAUUUGGGAAGGUUAAAUGAUUUCGACAAAUCAAACUUUUACUCUCCCUUAUUCAUAUCAUUACAUCCAUACCUGAAGCAUUGCCCAUCCUUUUGGUGUCUUUGAAGCCAAUAGUAACAGCCAAGCACAGUAACAUUAAGGUCCAAUUGAUCUCUGGAAUAUAAAUCUGUCCAUGUAUUUUUGAUGA